AGCGAACGCUGGCGGCAGGCCUAACACAUGCAAGUCGAACGAAGUCUUCGGACUUAGUGGCGGACGGGUGAGUAACACGUGGGAACGUGCCUUUAGGUUCGGAAUAACUCAGGGAAACUUGUGCUAAUACCGAAUGUGCCCUUCGGGGGAAAGAUUUAUCGCCUUUAGAGCGGCCCGCGUCUGAUUAGCUAGUUGGUGAGGUAAAGGCUCACUAAGGCUACGAUCAGUAGCUGGUCUGAGAGGAUGACCAGCCACAUUGGGACUGAGACGCGGCCCAAACUCCUACGGGAGGCAGCAGUGGGGAAUCUUGCGCAAUGGGCGAAAGCCUGACGCAGCCAUGCCGCGUGGAUGAUGAAGGUCUUAGGAUUGUAAAAUCCUUUCACCGGUGAAGAUAAUGACUGUAGCCGGAGAAGAAGCCCCGGCUAACUUCGUGCCAGCCGCCGCAGUAACAC
rnacentral:rRNA from 1 species